rnacentral:rRNA from 1 species
GACGAACGCUGGCGGCGUGCUUAACACAUGCAAGUCGAGCGGAAAGGCCCUUCGGGGUACUCGAGCGGCGAACGGGUGAGUAACACGUGAGUAACCUGCCCUUGGCUCUGGGAUAAGCCCGGGAAACUGGGUCUAAUACCGGAUAUGACUUCUCACCGCAUGGCGGGAGGUGGAAAGUUUUUCGGCUGAGGAUGGACUCGCGGUCUAUCAGCUUGUUGGUGGGGUGAUGGCCUACCAAGGCGACGACGGAUAGCCGGCCUGAGAGGGUGACCGGCCACACUGGGACUGAGACACGGCCCAGACUCCUACGGGAGGCAGCAGUGGGGAAUAUUGCGCAAUGGGCGGAAGCCUGACGCAGCGACGCCGCGUGGGGGAUGAAGGCCUUCGGGUUGUAAACCUCUUUCACCACCGACGAAGCUAACGUGACGGUAGGUGGGGAAGAAGCGCCGGCUAACUACGUGCCAGCAGCCGCCGUAACAC